rnacentral:rRNA from 1 species
ACAGUGGACGCGAGCAUCUGUGGCCAAGUUUUUAAGGGCGCACGGUGGAUGCCUUGGCACCAGGAACCGAUGAAGGACGUGGGAGGCCACGAUAGUCCCCGGGGAGUCGUCAACCAGGCUUUGAUCCGGGGGUUUCCGAAUGGGGAAACCCGGCAGUCGUCAUGGGCUGUCACCCGCUGCUGAACUCAUAGGCAGUGUGGAGGGAACGCGGGGAAGUGAAACAUCUCAGUACCCGCAGGAAGAGAAAACAACCGUGAUUCCGGGAGUAGUGGCGAGCGAAACUGGAUGAGGCCAAACCGUAUGUGUGUGAUACCCGGCAGGGGUUGCGCAUGCGGGGUUGUGGGAUCUCUCUUCCACGGUCUGCCGGCCGUGGGACGAGUCAGAAACCGUUGAUGUAGGCGAAGGACAUGCGAAAGGUCCGGCGUAGAGGGUAAGACCCCCGUAGUCGAAACGUCAGCGGCUCGUUUGAGAGACACCCAAGUAGCACGGGGCCCGAGAAAUCCCGUGUGAAUCUGGCGGGACCACCCGCUAAGCCUAAAUAUUCCCUGGUGACCGAUAGCGGAUAGUACCGUGAGGGAAUGGUGAAAAGUACCGCGGGAGCGGAGUGAAAUAGUACCUGAAACCGUGUGCCUACAAGCCGUGGGAGCGUCGCGCAAGAACUUCGGUUCUUGCGUCGUGACUGCGUGCCUUUUGAAGAAUGAGCCUGCGAGUUAGCGGUGUGUAGCGAGGUUAACCCGUGUGGGGAAGCCGUAGCGAAAGCGAGUCCGAACAGGGCGAUUUGAGUUGCACGCUCUAGACCCGAAGCGGAGUGAUCUAGCCAUGGGCAGGUUGAAGCGGCUGUAAGAGGUCGUGGAGGACCGAACCCACCAGGGUUGAAAACCUGGGGGAUGACCUGUGGUUAGGGGUGAAAGGCCAAUCAAACUCCGUGAUAGCUGGUUCUCCCCGAAAUGCAUUUAGGUGCAGCGUCGUGUGUUUCUUGCCGGAGGUAGAGCACUGGAUAGGCGAUGGGCCCUACCGGGUUACUGACCUUAGCCAAACUCCGAAUGCCGGUAAGUGAGAGCGCGGCAGUGAGACUGUGGGGGAUAAGCUCCAUGGUCGAGAGGGAAACAGCCCAGAGCAUCGACUAAGGCCCCUAAGCGUACGCUAAGUGGGAAAGGAUGUGGAGUCGCAGAGACAACCAGGAGGUUGGCUUAGAAGCAGCCACCCUUGAAAGAGUGCGUAAUAGCUCACUGGUCUAGUGAUUCCGCGCCGACAAUGUAGCGGGGCUCAAGCGUACCGCCGAAGUCGUGUCAUUGCAGCAUGAGGGCCAACGCCCGCUGUGAUGGGUAGGGGAGCGUCGUGUGCCGGGUGAAGCAGCCGUGGAAGCGAGUUGUGGACGGUUCACGAGUGAGAAUGCAGGCAUGAGUAGCGAUUCACACGUGAGAAACGUGUGCGCCGAUUGACUAAGGGUUCCUGGGUCAAGCUGAUCUGCCCAGGGUAAGUCGGGACCUAAGGCGAGGCCGACAGGCGUAGUCGAUGGAUAACCGGUUGAUAUUCCGGUACCCGCUGUGAAGCGUCAAACAUUGAAUCCAGUGAUGCUAAGCCCGUGAAGCCGUUCCGGACCCUUCGGGGAAUGGAAAGUGGUGGAGCCGGUGGCCCGAGCUGGUAGUAGGUGAGUGAUGGGGUGACGCAGGAAGGUAGUCCAUCCCGGGCGGUGGUUGUCCCGGGGUAAGGGUGUAGGCCGUGCGAUAGGUAAAUCCGUCGUACAUGUGGCUGAGACCUGAUGCCGAGCCGAUUGUGGUGAAGUGGAUGAUCCUAUGCUGUCGAGAAAAGCCUCUAGCGAGUUUCAUGGCGGCCCGUACCCUAAACCGACUCAGGUGGUCAGGUAGAGAAUACCGAGGCGUUCGGGUGAACUAUGGUUAAGGAACUCGGCAAAAUGCCCCCGUAACUUCGGGAGAAGGGGGGCCAUGUCUGGUGAUGAGUCUUGCACUC